UCGAAACCUGCCCAGCAGAACGACCUGUGAACAUGUUCAUAAAACGAGGGGUUGCUGCAGGAUUCGUCCAGCUUCGACUCCUCACUAGGGCUUGUCCAGGGGAUACGGGUGUGCAGGCUUGCCUUCCCCCCAUGAUCCCUUGUUCACGGCCUAUUAACAAAACCCCGGCGCCGAACGCGCCAAGGAAUUCCAAACAAAAAGAUCGUGCGCUCCUAUUGCCCCGGAAACGGUGAGCAAAAAGGAUGCGUCGUACUUUGAGAAUCUAAACGACUCUCGGCAACGGAUAUCUCGGCUCUCGCAUCGAUGAAGAACGCAGCGAAAUGCGAUACUUGGUGUGAAUUGCAGGAUCCCGCGAACCAUCGAGUCUUUGAACGCAAGUUGCGCCCGAAGCCUUUUGGCCGAGGGCACGUCUGCCUGGGUGUCACUCAACCAUCGCCCCAACCCCCUCCAUUAGAAAGGGUGUUAUUGGGGCGGAAUUUGGCCUCCCGUGUGCAUAUUGCCUAUGGUUGGCCCAAAUAUCCGGUCUUCGGCGGUGACGCCACGGCAAUCGGUGGUUGCAAGACCCUCGCAAAAUGCCGUGUGCGCUCGGAUGCCCAUGAUGACUUAUGAAACCCCGUAGCGUACCUAAGGGCACGUUCGCUCUGCGACC
rnacentral:rRNA from 1 species